GUGGAUGGGCAGAUGGAUGGGUGGAUGGUUGGGUGGGUGGAUGAAUGGUUGGCCAGUCCAUAUGGACAAACAAGCAAAUACACAGACAGUAAUUCAAUGUAGUCUGAGUUGCCAGUUGGAGCCAAGCCAAGCAGAAGUCCCUGGGACAGUUGGGAGUUCUAUGCCUGUAGGUUCCUUGACACACUCACUAUAUAUCAGAUGAUAUGUCCACUGGGGCCAUAACCCUCUCUGGGUUAGGUAGGUGUGUUCUCUUCGGGGUCCAGGCAGGAAUACUGUGCCCUUUCAGUAUGAAAACAUUUUUGGUGAGGUUUGAAAACGCCUUCAUUCUCAAGAGGUUUCUUCUGAAAUCCAGAUGUCUCCAUGACAAGGCUGCAACUUGUCUCGCCUGUGCUGACGCUUUACAAGAUUCCACUGCAGCAGAAAGAGCUCCAGAGCAGCUUCCUGGUAGGAAGAAGCCGCGCUUGAGGUGGUAGAAGCGUCCAUCCUAACAGAGGACUGCCUAUCCUGGUGCUCUCAGCCACAGCUGCCGCCAGCCUCCAGCAAGCAUUGGCUCUGACAUCUCUCUCUGCCCUUGGCCUGUACAUUUCUCCAGCUCCUGCCGCAGGCUGGAAAAUUAGCUUCGAAGGCUGCAGGACCUUCCUCAGCUACCUCGACUGUUGCUACUCCUGCAAGCUCACUCUACCACCCCAGCUAGGUGAGCUGAGGAGGCUCAGGGGUUCCUUUGCUAGGCAGAGAUGGUGAAUCCUGCCCGCUCCCUACCCACCAUAUACUUGGCUACCAGCUUUCAUUUGUUUCUUUUCUUUUGUGAGUUAGGGUCUCCCAGCCCAGACAGGCCUCACACUGGAGCUAAUCUUGAAUUUUGAACUUCUUCACUUUCUUUCUUUGCUUUAAUUUUUAAAAUUCUUUUGAAAGUUUUAUACACUUAUAGAAUUGAUUCUAUCGACCAUUUCCAUCUACCUCUACUUCCCUGUAACCCUCUCUAGUUCUACCCACCCAUCUCCCUUCUAAUUUCACGUCUCCUACUUAAAAACUGUUAUUAAAACCCCUGAGUCUUAUUAAUGCUGCUGUUUGAAGACUUAACUAUACAAUAAAGGCAAGAGAAGGAAAUAAGAGGGAAUCAAAUAGGAACAGAAGAUGAAGUAUCUCUUUAUGCCAAAGGUAUGAUUCUACAUGUGAGAGGCCCUAUGGACCCCACCCACACCUCAUAUAUCUAAAACACUUUCAGCUAAGUGGCCAGAUACAAAUUAACCCAAGUCAGCUGUCUUCCAUUAUGUCAGUGAUGAACUUGAAACUGCAGAUCCUCCAGUGUCCACACCAGUGUCCUCCAGUGUUACAGCGUUGUACACCACAGCCGGCCCAUGGCUUCUGCAUGCUGGGCAAGCCCCUACUAACAACUUCACCAGGUUACUGGUUUUUAAAAUUGGGUCUUGUUCUUUGGGUUUGCCACAUAGUAUGAUCCAUAUGCCACCUACUUUCUUUUCUUUUUUCCCCUUACUGAGAUUAAUUAUGGAUGCUUGUGUUUAUUUUCUGGGGGCAUAGACAACUUACCAGUGUCUAUGCCUCUGAGGAAAAAUGAUUCCUUGUCCGUCUCUCCCCUUGUCCCCAAACUACUACUUGCCAAUAGCUUCUUUGCUAUGGGUGGGGCCCAAUGUUCAAUUUUGGAGGGAUGUAUAAAAACCAGUUAUUUUUUUUCUUCCUUUACAUUUUCAAAUGGAACUCAAAAGUCAGACAACAUAAGCAUCAGGAACGGACAGUGGUGGGCCUCUUUGUUGUAAAAGGUGUGGUUCUUGUCUUUCACUGGGGUGGAUGAGUUGACGCCCUCAUUUACGACACCUGCAGACAGGACUGGGGUAAAUGUGAAGUCUUGGGAAGAGACUGUGUGUCUUUGAGGAUUUGAAUGUUCAUUGAGCUGACAUCAUUUGUGGUUUUCACUCACUGAAGACAGAUAGAGCUGGGCAAAAAGUCCUGGGUGGGUUGUGGCCGUCCAAAGGCUUCCAUAACUCACAUCCAAACUGCUGGACACAUGGUAGGGAUUGCUGUAGAAUAUGUGUGCCGUGACUGGCCCAUGAAUAGUCUGUCAUACCGUCGUUGCCCAGGCAAGAUCAGGCAUUAGCAACACAGCCUUUAUACCAUCUUUCAUUGACACCUGGAAAUUUCUGAUGUUAUUCCUAGGACUCCAUAGACACCAGAGCUUUACCUCUUGGCUCCUCAGAAACACUUUCCAUUUUCAUCUCUGCCUUAUGAAGCAGAAGCCGACAACAUUGCCUAAUGCUUUGUAGCAUUCGGCGUUAUUACAUUUAUAAUGUUAUUCAAUUUAAAAAUAAACGUAUUUCCACUUUGCAA